rnacentral:rRNA from 1 species
UGGGGAAUAUUGGACAAUGGGCGCAAGCCUGAUCCAGCAAUGCCGCGUGUGUGAAGAAGGCCUUCGGGUUGUAAAGCACUUUCAGUGGGGAGAAAGGGGUGAAUGCUAAUACCAUUUAUCAUUGAUGUUACCCAAAGAAGAAGCAUCGGCUAACUCUGUGCCAGCAGCCGCGGUAAUACAGAGGAUGCAAGCGUUAAUCGGAAUGACUGGGCGUAAAGCGUGUGUAGGUGGUUGGAUAAGUUAGGUGUGAAAUCCCCGGGCUCAACCUGGGAACUGCGCUUAAGACUGUUCAACUAGAGUACUGUAGAGGAUAGUGGAAUUUCCAGUGUAGCGGUGAAAUGCGUAGAUAUUGGAAGGAACACCAGUGGCGAAGGCGACUAUCUGGAUAGAUACUGACACUGAGACACGAAAGCGUGGGGAGCAAACAGGAUUAGAUACCCGGGUAGUCC